rnacentral:rRNA from 1 species
UACGGAGGGCGCAAGCGUUGUUCGGAAUCACUGGGCGUAAAGCGCGUGCAGGCGGCUUGGUAAGUCGGGUGUGAAAUCCCGGAGCUCAACUCCGGAACUGCACCCGAUACUGCCUCGCUAGAGUCCCGGAGAGGAUGGCGGAAUUUCCGGUGUAGAGGUGAAAUUCGUAGAUAUCGGAAGGAACACCAGCGGCGAAGGCGGCCAUCUGGACGGUGACUGACGCUCAGGCACGAAAGCGUGGGGAGCAAACAGG